AGGGUUUGAUUAUGGCUCAGGAUGAACGCUAGCUACAGGCUUAACACAUGCAAGUCGAGGGGCAGCGGGAAGUCAGCUUGCUGACUUUGCCGGCGACCGGCGCACGGGUGAGUAACACGUAUCCAACCUUCCCGUUACUCUGGAAUAGCCUUUCGAAAGAAAGAUUAAUACCGGAUAGUAUCGAGAGAUUGCAUGAUAACCCGAUUAAAGAUUCAUCGGUAACGGAUGGGGAUGCGUUCCAUUAGGCAGUUGGCGGGGUAACGGCCCACCAAACCGACGAUGGAUAGGGGUUCUGAGAGGAAGGUCCCCCACAUUGGAACUGAGACACGGUCCAA
rnacentral:rRNA from 1 species